CACAAAACUCAAAAAUAUAUUUUUGUCAGUUUCAAAGGGAUUCAGUAGCGCAUUUCAAGGUCACUGAGCACCCUGUACUGGUAACAGUAGAAAAUUGAAUGUUCGUAUAGAUAUUACAAAUGCCAAAAGGAUAAA